CCUAACCACUGCUCUUUCACCAAACCUCUCUCCGUCUCUAUUUCUCUGCUUCUCUCUCAACGCCGUUGAUUCGCCAUCGUCGCUACCGUUUGUCUUGAGGUUUACGACUUUUUGGCUAAUCUCCUCUGUGGAGAGCAAUGACUAAUACUCGUGGGACUGAUAUGGCAAAGAAAAAGGAGAAUCUUGAUUGUGAAACGGAUUUCAAGACUCAUGAAUAUACUAGAUUUUUUGAUAAGCUGAUAGAGUUCAUCCCUGCAAGAUUCUACUUAGCAGAUGAGACAGAAAGGAAAUGGUUUCCAGGUCUUAGCAAGGGUCAAAAAGCUAGAGCGAAGAAAAUAACAAACUCCAACCUAAAGAAGGCGAGGAGAGAUAGGUUGGACCCA